UACGGAGGGAGCUAGCGUUGUUCGGAAUUACUGGGCGUAAAGCGCGCGUAGGCGGUCCAUCAAGUCAGAGGUGAAAGCCCGGGGCUCAACCCCGGAACUGCCUUUGAAACUGGCGGGCUAGAAUCUUGGAGAGGCGAGUGGAAUUCCGAGUGUAGAGGUGAAAUUCGUAGAUAUUCGGAAGAACACCAGUGGCGAAGGCGACUCGCUGGACAAGUAUUGACGCUGAGGUGCGAAAGCGUGGGGAGCAAACAGG
rnacentral:rRNA from 1 species